UGGGGAAUCUUGCACAAUGGGGGAAACCCUGAUGCAGCGACGCCGCGUGAGCGAUGAAGGUUUUCGAAUCGUAAAGCUCUGUCCUAUGGGAAGAAAAUGACAGUACCAUAGGAAUAAGGACCGGCUAAUUACGUGCCAGCAGCCGCGGUAAUACGUAAGGUCCGAGCGUUGUCCGGAAUCAUUGGGCGUAAAGGGUACGUAGGCGGGUAAGCAAGUUAGAAGUGAAAUCCUGUAGCUCAACUACAGUAAGCUUUUAAAACUGCUCAUCUUGAGAUAUGGAAGGGAAAGUGGAAUUCCUAGUGUAGCGGUGAAAUGCGCAGAUAUUAGGAGGAAUACCGGUGGCGAAGGCGACUUUCUGGCCAUAAUCUGACGCUGAGGUACGAAAGCGUGGGUAGCAAACAGG
rnacentral:rRNA from 1 species